CCUACGGGAGGCAGCAGUGGGGAAUAUUGGGCAAUGGGCGCAAGCCUGACCCAGCAACGCCGCGUGAAGGAAGAAGGCUUUCGGGUUGUAAACUUCUUUUAAGAGGGAAGAGCAGAAGACGGUACCUCUUGAAUAAGCCACGGCUAACUACGUGCCAGCAGCCGCGGUAAUACGUAGGUGGCAAGCGUUGUCCGGAUGUACUGGGGGUAAAGGGCGUGCAGCCGGGAAGAAAAGUCAGAUGUGAAAUCCCGCGGCUCAACCGCGGAACUGCAUUUGAAACUGUUUUUCUUGAGUACCGGAGAGGUCAUCGGAAUUCCUUGUGUAGCGGUGAAAUGCGUAGAUAUAAGGAAGAACACCAGUGGCGAAGGCGGAUGACUGGACGGCAACUGACGGUGAGGCGCGAAAGCGUGGGGAGCAAACAGGAUUAGAUACCCUAGUAGUC
rnacentral:rRNA from 1 species